AAAUAAAUGUAUAAAAAAUUAAAAAAAAAAAAAAGGAACCAGAUGACCGAGGAAUUGAGACACGGACGGGCCCCUGCUUCCCCAGCCCACCUGCAAGCAGGGACACAGGCCGAAUAUGAGGUGUCCCCAGGACUGAAACCCAUCAAGAGGCCCUGGGGAAAACCCCAGCGAGGAGACUGCAGUGAGAGGCACCAGGAUUAGAGAGAAAAUGACGGCUAAUGGGCCUCGUCCCUCCUCCCUUACCAGUUCACGUUUUCUGUAGCGUUAUUGACCCGUCAUUAGUUAUCCGUCCAAGGUCGCUAGGCCUGGCCCAGCUAUAAAUCAUGGCGGCUGGAGGGGGCCUACAGGCAGAGCGAAGGUUCCGGGAUGCAGCGGAGAGCUCGGCCCCCAGCACAGCCCAGAGGAGUCACAGAUUGCCCAAGAGCUGGGAGAGCUUCCGCUGAGAGUUUAUAGCUUCCAGUAGCAAGGACAGAACUCAUCCAGGGGGAAACUGAGGCACAGAAUCCGGACCAGAGGUGAGUCUGGGAAAAGGGUCCCCAGCAUACCACAUUAAGGUAACCAGUGCAGGAUCCUGCUCCCUGCCGGGUGAUGGGGAGGGUCUACCCACCCAUGGAGGGGCACUAAGCCACAUCCCCCAAGGCAUCCUCUGGAGGAGGAGGGAGGGGCUGCGUAGCGGCAGCGCAUUCCGGACCCUUCCAGCCCCAACCUCCUACUCCCCUUCCCCGACCUGGGAGAGAAGCUCCACUAGGCGGUUCCUCCCCGUACCUGGCGCACUCUCUGCCACACCCCAUCCCGGCCUUCGCACACCGCAGGGCCGCUUCGCCCGUCCUCUUCGUCGGUCCUCGCGCGCCCUCUGCUGGUCUAUUCCGGGAAGUGCGCCCGUCGACCUCAAUACCUGUCCCAUCCCUCCCCCCUAUACACCUGGCAGUAGCGGCCCAGCCCACCCCAAGGCUCCGCCCUCAUGAUACCCAGUUUUGGCGACCCCCCUGUCCCUGAAGAUGACCCCUGGAGCAUUCCUGUGUCUCGCCAUCCCUGUGCGUCGGAGCAGCCCUUCCCUUUCCAGAUCCCAGAGAGGCUUGAUAGUCUGUUCCUAUCGGGUAGAGGGAGUGAGGUCCAGAAAGAUAGAACUUGAAACAUGGAGAAGAGAGCUUUCCUCUUGCCUAUGGAGCCAGGCUCUGGAGGGACAUCUGUGGUCUGAGUCUGUACUUCACAGUAAAAACUGAAGCUGCAUAGUUGCAUAGUAUAGAUUGGGCAGCAAGUAGGGCUUCUCUAGGGCAUCUUCCUGGAGCCUUCCUCCUUUACUUGAUUCUGCAGCUUCGGUAUGCACUUGGGUGGUGGAAGGCUAGGAAGGCCCUCAAGGUGGGGGUGGCGAACCUUGGCUCUCAGAAGCUCUGAGGUGGGGGCUGCAGUCCUUGGCCCCUUAGGUGAGAAACGAGCUGCCCAGCGCUCCAGGACUGUUCUCCGUCAGGGAGAAGAAGGGCAUGGCCUCUGAGGCCUUCUCUCCUCAGGUCAGACACUAAGGGUCCCAGGCUUUCUCCCCAUUAGGCAGCUUGAGGGGAAGAGGAACAGGCCAGGGGGGUGAUUCCUUUCCAAUGGGUGUGUGGUCUAGCAGGUAGGUAGGGUGGCCUGACCAGAGGCCCUUGUCAAACUGGCCCCAAAGUGCUCCCAAAGUCCAAAGUCCAUUGAGUCCAAAGUCACGGUGAUGAGAGAGGAUUUCUCAGGGGAAAUCUGGAGCUGGGGGAAGGUGGUGUCUCAGGCCAGUCUAGGCACCCACAAGCCCUGUGUGGAGCCCAUGUGGAAUCAAAUCAGGCAUGUGUGGGGCUGACAGGUAGAGAUCAGGUAUGUGCAUGGACAUGUGUGGGGACCACGUGUCACGAAUGUAUAGGGAUAUACGUGAGCUAUAGAGCCAGAACCCCUGCUUCUAGCAGGGUUAGAGCUUAGAGUCUAUGUCCCCCAUACCACUGGUUCUGGAGGUUAGAGGUCAGGAGCUCCCACCUCAGGGCAAGUGGGCAUUUGCUGAUUCAGAACUCCAGGUUUCAGGGCCAUGGGCUAUGACUGUCAGCAUCAGUAUUAGGAACCCUCCACAUACUGAAAACUUGGGUCUCUUUGCUUUAGAUACGUGGGAGAAGGAGAGAGAGAGAGGGAGGGAGGGAGAGAGAGAGAGAGAGAGAGAGAGAGAGAGAGAGAGAGAGAGAUUAGAAAGCCCAGUGAGAUCCAGCUACAGCCACUCCCAGAAAGGAGCUCAGGAAACCGAGGAGCAGAGGAGCCUCUCUGCUCCUCCCCCACUCACACUCUGUCUCUCUCUCUCUUUAUCAAAAUAAAUAAACAUUAAAAACAAAACCAAAAAACUCUGGGAUGGGAAGGGAAUCUCUGUCUGCAAUUGCACUGAAUUAGCCUGCCCCUACCCACAUCUUGGAAGGCUUUGCCUGAGCAAAUUCCAUAGAAGUUCCUCCUGUCAAGGACCCUUUGCUAUGAGAGGUGAAUCCCUGCUCCUCAUAACCCUGGGGUUCAGGCUCCACCUUGCAAGAGUCACAAAUUUAAAUGUUUGCAAGGGUUGGAUCCCAGGUAAAGCAAUAGGGAGACGUGAUGACUUUGGCAGCUGGGGAGCAGCUCCAGUCAAGUGUUGAUAUGUGGGAACAUGGGGGGAGAGAAAUGGCAUUGGGAUAGAGACCCAGACCUCUUCCAACUUUAUCUCCCUCCUUCCCAUCAUAGGAGUCUCCUAAGACACCCUUCCCCUAAGUCUGUGUAUUAGCUUUCUAUUGCUGCAUAACAGAAUUUCACAAAUUUAGCCCCUAAAAACAAAAUCCAUUAAUGGACUCAGCUCUUUAGGCUGGAAGUCCAGGAAGACUCAGCUGAAUUUCCUGCUUCCAGUCCCACACAGCCCAAAUCAAGGUGUUG